rnacentral:rRNA from 1 species
CUUGACCUCAAAUCAGGUGGGACUACCCGCUGAACUUAAGCAUAUCAAUAAGCGGAGGAAAAGAAACUAACAAGGAUUCCCCUAGUAACUGCGAGUGAAGCGGGAAAAGCUCAAAUUUAAAAUCUGGCGGUCUCCGAGCCGUCCGAGUUGUAGUCUGGAGAAGCGUUUUCCGCGCUGGACCGUGUACAA